UACAGAGGUCCCAAGCGUUGUUCGGAUUUACUGGGCGUAAAGGGUGCGUAGGUGGCGGGGUAAGUCUGGUGUGAAAGCUCCGAGCUCAACUCGGAAAGGCAUUGGAAACUAUCCCGCUUGAGGGUCGGAGGGGAGACUGGAAUUCUCGGUGUAGCAGUGAAAUGCGUAGAUAUCUGGAGGAACAUCAGUGGCGAAAGCGGCUUCCUGGUCCAGCACCGACGUUCAGGCACGAAAGCGUGGGGAGCAAACAGG
rnacentral:rRNA from 1 species